GAGUAACGCGUGAGGAACCUGCCUCAAAGAGGGGGACAACAGUUGGAAACGACUGCUAAUACCGCAUAAGCCCACGACCCGGCAUCGGGUUGAGGGAAAAGGAGCAAUCCGCUUUGAGAUGGCCUCGCGUCCGAUUAGCUAGUUGGUGAGGUAACGGCCCACCAAGGCAACGAUCGGUAGCCGGACUGAGAGGUUGAACGGCCACAUUGGGACUGAGACACGGCCCAGACUCCUACGGGAGGCAGCAGUGGGGAAUAUUGCACAAUGGGGGAAACCCUGAUGCAGCGACGCCGCGUGGAGGAAGAAGGUCUUCGGAUUGUAAACUCCUGUUGUUGAGGAAGAUAAUGACGGUACUCAACAAGGAAGUGACGGCUAACUACGUGCCAGCAGCCGCGGUAAAACGUAGGUCACAAGCGUUGUCCGGAAUUACUGGGUGUAAAGGGAGCGCAGGCGGGAAGACAAGUUGGAAGUGAAAUCCAUGGGCUCAACCCAUGAACUGCUUUCAAAACUGUUUUUCUUGAGUAGUGCAGAGGUAGGCGGAAUUCCCGGUGUAGCGGUGGAAUGCGUAGAUAUCGGGAGGAACACCAGUGGCGAAGGCGGCCUACUGGGCACCAACUGACGCUGAGGCUCGAAAGUGUGGGUAGCAAACAGGAUUAGAUACCCUGGUAGUCCACACCGUAAACGAUGAUUACUAGGUGUUGGAGGAUUGACCCCUUCAGUGCCGCAGUUAACACAAUAAGUAAUCCACCUGGGG
rnacentral:rRNA from 1 species